rnacentral:rRNA from 1 species
GACGAACGCUGGCGGCGUGCUUAACACAUGCAAGUCGAACGGAAAGGCCCUGCUUUUGUGGGGUGCUCGAUUGGCGAACGGGUGAGUAACACGUGCGUAACCUGCCCUUGACUUUGGGAUAACUUCAGGAAACUGGGGCUAAUACCGGAUAUGAGCUCCUGCUGCAUGGUGUGGGUUGGAAAGUUUCGGCGGUUCGGGAUGGACUCGCGGCUUAUCAGCUUGUUGGUGGGGUAGUGGCUUACCAAGGCUUUGACGGGUAGCCGGCCUGAGAGGGUGACCGGCGACAUUGGGACUGAGAUACGGCCCAGACGCCUACGGGCGGCAGUAGUGGGGAAUAUUGCACAAUGGGCGGAAGCCUGAGGCAGCAACGUCGCGUGCGGGAUGCUGGGUUUUGGGUUGUAAACAGCUGUCGCCUGUGACGAAGCGUGAGUGACGGUAAUGGGUAAAGAAGCACCGGCUAACUACGUG